AUUGAACGCUGGCGGCAGGCCUAACACAUGCAAGUCGAGCGGAUGAAGGGAGCUUGCUCCUGGAUUCAGCGGCGGACGGGUGAGUAAUGCCUAGGAAUCUGCCUGGUAGUGGGGGGUAACGUCCGGAAACGGGCGCUAAUACCGCAUACGUCCUGAGGGAGAAAGUGGGGGAUCUUCGGACCUCACGCUAUCAGAUGAGCCUAGGUCGGAUUAGCUAGUUGGUGGGGUAAAGGCCUACCAAGGCGACGAUCCGCAACUGGUCUGAGAGGAUGAUCAGUCACACUGGAACUGAGACACGGUCCAGACUCCUACGGGAGGCAGCAGUGGGGAAUAUUGGACAAUGGGCGAAAGCCUGAUCCAGCCAUGCCGCGUGUGUGAAGAAGGUCUUCGGAUUGUAAAGCACUUUAAGUUGGGAGGAAGGGCAGUAAGUUAAUACCUUGCUGUUUUGACGUUACCAACAGAAUAAGCACCGGCUAACUUCGUG
rnacentral:rRNA from 1 species